rnacentral:rRNA from 2 species
ACAAGCGGUGGAGCAUGUGGUUUAAUUCGAAGCAACGCGAAGAACCUUACCAGGGCUUGACAUGCCGCUGACCGGUUUAGAGAUAGAUCUUUACCCUUCGGGGUACAGCGGACACAGGUGGUGCAUGGUUGUCGUCAGCUCGUGUCGUGAGAUGUUGGGUUAAGUCCCGCAACGAGCGCAACCCUUGUCUUUAGUUGCCAUCAUUAAGUUGGGCACUCUAAAGAGACUGCCGAUGACAAAUCGGAGGAAGGUGGGGAUGACGUCAAAUCAUCAUGCCCUUUAUGUCCUGGGCUACACACGUGCUACAAUGGUCGGUACAACGAGAAGCAAGUCAGCGAUGGCAAGCAAAUCUCUAAAAGCCGAUCCCAGUUCGGAUUGCAGGCUGCAACUCGCCUGCAUGAAGUCGGAGUUGCUAGUAAUCGCGGAUCAGAAUGCCGCGGUGAAUGCGUUCCCGGGUCUU